rnacentral:rRNA from 1 species
CCUACGGGAGGCAGCAGUGGGGAAAUUGCACAAUGGAGGAAACCCUGAUGCAGCCAUGCCGCGUGAGUGAAGAAGGCCUUUGGGUUGUAAAGCUCUUUCGCUAGGGAAGAUAAUGACUGUACCCAAAUAAGAAGGCCCGGCUAACUUCGUGCCAGCAGCCGCGGUAAUA